GAAGAAAAGGGUUGGUUUUUCAAACAUUUCACGUGGAGUCCGGUCAGAAAGAUGCAUAUGAGGAAGCUCGACUCAAACAUCCAUACGCAACUGUGAUUUCUGACUGGUAGACAGAUGAGGAUGAUGAUCGCCUGUCAUACAUCUAAAGACAGAACAGGGACAGUAUAGACACAUCUAUACCAUGAUGAAGAAAAAUUACUUGGAACAAAGAGGCUGGAUAAAAGGCAGCACGACUGACUGAAGUUUUAAAAUCAUGCAACGUCAUAAAGCAGCAGCUGGGCCUGAUUCUCACAAAACCAAAACAGACGUGAUGAAAUUCCAGAUGUAAACACAUUUGACCUUCCUUUGGCCAAUUGGAUUUGGAAAAGCUUGAAAAUCAACUAAAGGAGCAGCCUGAACAAAUGAAGAAACUGAUGGAGUGAGGACAAAUGUCCAUACCACACCACUGAUAAAGAAGUGGAAAAAUGCAUUACAAGGUAGCUACAACUUGCCCCUGACAGGGAUGGAGGAAGAAAGAAGAGAAAGCUAAUGUGUCAAAUGUCUACAUCACUAUUUUGUUUUAAUUUUUAAACAACAUUUUAAGUGUAUUAGGAUGUUCCCUGAUACUUGAACAAUUUGUUUCUUUCAUUUGCAUUUAUAUAUAUAUAUAUAUAUAUAUAUAUAUAUAUAUAUAUAUAUAUAUAUAUAUAUAUAUAUAUAUAUAUAUAUAUAUAUAUAUAUAUAUAUGUGUGUGUGUGUGUAUAUAUGUAUGGAAUGUAUGUAUGUAUGUGUGUGCGCCAAAUUGUAAAGAAACAUCUUGAUACAUUUUUAAUAAACGUAAUACAAAUAAAAUUAUAAAUAUAAAAUUGCACAAGACGUGUGUAUAUAUAUGAAAUGUAUAAUCAUCUCACUCAUGUCUUGCUGUUUGUGCAAUUGAUUUU
rnacentral:lncRNA from 1 species